rnacentral:rRNA from 1 species
UACGGAGGUGGCAAGCGUUGCUCGGAAUCACUGGGCGUAAAGGGCGCGUAGGCGGGGAGGUAAGUCGGGGGUGAAAUCCCUCGGCCCAACCGAGGAACUGCGCCCGAGACUGCUUCUCUUGAGUCCCGGAGAGGAAGAUGGAAUUCCCGGUGUAGCGGUGAAAUGCGCAGAUAUCAGGAAGAAUAUCCGUGGCGAAGGCGGCUCUCUGGGACGGUACUGACGCUGAGACGCGAAAGCGUGGGGAGCGAACAGG